rnacentral:rRNA from 1 species
UACGUAGGGGGCAAGCGUUAUCCGGAUUUACUGGGUGUAAAGGGGGCGCAGACGGCGAUGCAAGCCAGGAGUGAAAGCCCGGGGCCCAACCCCGGGACUGCUCUUGGAGCUGCGUGGCUGGAGUGCAGGAGGGGCAGGCGGAAUUCCUGGUGUAGCGGUGAAAUGCGUAGAUAUCAGGAGGAACACCGGUGGCGAAGGCAGCCUGCUGGACUGCAACUGACGUUGAGGCCCGAAAGCGUGGGGAGCAAACAGG